rnacentral:misc_RNA from 1 species
CUCAGUAGUUUACUACUGUAAAAGAGGCUGUUAGUCUGUAUAGCGCAAGCUGAUGAGCAGCUGGUCUCUUUUAUCCACCCUUGUCUUUUGCGUACCCACGUUUCCUCGGCAGGCUUGCCUGCCGAUUGGACAAACAUAUAACCUUUUUAAUUUUCAAUCAGCGUCUGAAAAACUUAACAAUUACAACUUUCAACAACGGAUCUCUUGGUUCU